AGCUUAUGUUGGUAUGCCAGAACCUUGUAAACUUUGGCAAAAGUCUCAGAAGAAUGUUGCUAGUAAACUGCAAAGAUAGAUAAACUUCUUAACAGUAAGAUUUAAACACUUAGUGGUGUUUUCCAGGAAACAGCUACAAUGAUAGAUUGGAACAGUGCAUGGCCGGUGGCUUGUAACAAAGUGAAGUAAUGUACAGCUUUUCUAUAGACAACGUAGUCCUUGUCCAGAAUUGCAAAUGUGUUCAUCAUUCUUUUCAGUAAUUUUUCAUUGGACAGUCUUAAUCUGGAAUCAAUAUAAUAUUAUUUUAUUUUGUAUAUUAAUAGUCAUUUGUUCAAAAUUAUCUGUGUAUCUGUCUUUUUGGCUGAAGUAAAUAGCCCUCCCCUUUUGGUACUUAUUGGAUCCCUGUACUGAAAUAUGAAGACUUCAAGGAGCUUUGUAAAACUUCUGAUGAAAAACUUUUUUUUUCCACUUUGCUGUUUCAUUAUUUCCACUUAGACUCCAAUUGCACAAGUACUGUAUUUAUUUAGACAAUAUGUAUGCCACUAAGCCUGAUUUUUUUCUUUAUAGUGUGUUUGUUAGCUGAAAUGUCUACAGUAUGCUUCAGUUUCCUUCCAGUCUUCCUCCAAAAAUGAUUUUGAAUGUCAAGCCCUAUUUACUCUUCAAGGGGACCUCUAUAAGCAUAAAAGCAGAGUGGAUUUCUUCUUGAUAAUGCAGCUCAAAACUAAAACCUUGUUGUAGCAGCUGGUGUUUUUCUAAUUCUUUUUUACUGGAACAAGUCAGAACUACUUGAAAGUAGUUCAGCUUUGCAUUAGUUGAAAAAUGCAGCCGAAUAAGAAUUGAUCUGAAGUAUCCUGGGUGGAAAACUGGAUUUGAAUGUUAAAUAUUCCUGAUGUGCAAGAGGCAAGAUAUUAGAAAAAAUAGCUAAGUCCACUGUUAGGCUUGUACUUUACAAGAGAAGCUGUAAAUUGCUCUGUAAUAUUCUUAAUACUUGCAUGUCAUCACAGUCAAAUGGAUAUAGACACACUGAUUGAAGGUGUUGCUAUAGGAGCAGUUGUAGUCUUUUGUACUGUAAUCAUGCCAAGUGGACUUACUGGACAGCGCUGCGUGACAGUUGCAGUUGAAAGGUUUCACUGUUGGGAAUUGAACUUCAUGCUUUCAAGAUAUCAAGAUGAAGAACUGAACUAGAAAUGCAAGGUAGAGUAACAUGCUUGAAGUAUUGCUACUGGCCUGAUUAACAGGUGGAAGAGAUGCGUAGCCUUCCCAAAAAACUCAAUGAAGCUUGCCUUUCAGAAAACUCAAUGAAGAAAAAUGUUAGCGAAUCCAGUAGCACUGAACGACAUAGAGAGCAAAGAGGAUGAAAAACAGGCUUUGUUUCUUAUGAUUGUCCCUCAGUACUUGACAGCAGUUUUGAAAUUAAAUUGGAUGCUGCACCUCCAUUAGUUUCCUCAGCCAAUCAGAGGAACAACUGAUAGGACUGUUCGGAUGUGAGGUCUGUUCACAUGUUUAAGUAAAUCUUUUUUCUUUUCAGUUCAGUAAAAUACAUGACUUGUCAUAUCACUGCAUGGUGAUUUUAAAGCAUGGAGACGACCUAAAAGGCUAAUAGGACAUGCUUAAUAAUUCUGUUGUUUUUUGUUGUUGUUGUUGGUUUUCCUUUGUUUUUACAGACCCGCUGUGUAUCAUCUGCUGUACCUCAAAGUCCCAUUGAACUCAUUUGGCACUUGUUAGAAUUUGGGCUCUUAAUACCUACCUUCCAUUUGUUGAAAUACUCUGUACUUGUAUGUUAAGAGUUUGGAGGAAUCCCGUUUUACUGGCAUGGAUACUGAAUUAAUGCGGCAGGAGAAUAAGCAAGCUACUUUGUAAAUAUGGAAGAUUGAUUAGAAACUACUAUUCCUAACUUGAAUUGAAUGAGGAUCUAGCAGAUUUGCACAAGUACUUGUGCCUUGUUAGCAUAGUCUUACAAUUGGUAUUCUAGCUUCUUUUAAAGACAUUAAAUGAUCUUUUAAAAUAAUUUAAGUCAUUAUUGUGUAGAUAUUUUCUAGAGAUGAAGUUUUUUGUGCGCAUACCUGUUUUUAGCAGUAUUAGUUGCAGUUCCUGCAAACACUAAGCUGUUUGAAGAAGCUGCUUUGGCCUAGUGAUCUGUUGAAGCUUCCUCUACGAUACUGUGCAUUAAACAUCAGAAACUCAUUUUUCCAGUAGCAGCUGGUGAACCGAGAAGCCUAUCCUGUUCUGUGUGCUGCCUAAGUCAGAUUUUUCACUUAAAAAAUCACAGCAUCCGAACUUCCAGUAACGCUACCUCCUUUCUCUCUACGUCCUGAAUUCUUGGGUUAGUUUGUCUUUGGGAAAGGAUGGGGAUCAUUUCAGUUUGGUUUUUGCUUCGUCAGUUUUGAUAUCUAAAUACAUUGCAAAGCAUUUUUACUGACUGUAUAAAUGACGUACGGUAGAAGAGUAUGAUUUGCCACCAUGUACAUUGUAUAUUACUCUUGCACAAGUUGCUGGAAUUCGUACUGUUGUCUUUUUAUGUAUUUCGUAACUCGUUUGUGCUGACAAAGCAAAACUGUUAUCACAGAGGUUUUAGUAUAAGAAGUUUAGAAGUUUUAUAGCUGAGCCUGUGGUUUAAAAAAAAAAAAAGUUCUGACUCAGGGCUUUUUAACAACUUACAUACAUUUACGAUAUUCUUCAGCACGUCUUGGAGAGCGUUGUAGGUUUAAUGACUGCACAGUGCCUUGAUAGAACUAUAUAAUGGGCAGCAGCCGUAGAGUCCUUACAGAAUGCAAGUAUCUUUUGAAUCCAGUUGAGGAGUUUAUGUUCAUACAACUGUAAUAUCCCUGCUAUGGAUUUACGUACUUGUAUAUACUUUCUGUAUGGGAAAAUCAGCAAAUGUAGGUCUUGCCAAGCUUUCUGUAAGUUGGUUUGUUGUUGCACGGGUUGGGAGUGGGGGGGCGGGGUGUGAAAGGCUUAGUGUUCAAAUGUACCAAAGUAGCACUUCUGGGAAAGACAGCUGAUAAAAAGCUCUGUAUGGGAUCUUUUUAGUGUGAUGGGAGAGGUGGUUGUAUUAAAAUAAUUAUAAAUAAAAAUAAAAAUGCCCUCCUAAUUCUGGCCCAGUGAGCCUUUCUGAAGGGAGAGAGAGAAUCAGCAACAAUUCUGUGUUUGCAUGCCAUUUCAUAUUUACAGGAAAUGACGUACUUUUACGCUUCUAGCAGAUAUUUCUAUCACAAGCUUACUGUCUUCAUGAAUGCCAUUUAUUCCUAUUAGAAAACCAGUUUUACCGAACCACAGGAACAUUUUUGCUACUGUUAAAGCCAACGUUGUAUUUUCAGUAGUUCUUGACAUGACUGUUUACUGGAGAAACUUCUGGUUGUCUGCGUGAAUGUAGUGGAUUUUUCUGUAUGCAGAUAGCAUUAUAUAAUUGCUUUCAUUAAAACUGCUUAGCAAGGUCUAAGCUUCUCAAGAGAAAUGCUAAUGUACUGAAUGGUUAAUAAAAGUUGUUAU
ensembl:lncRNA